AUUGAACGCUGGCGGCAGGCCUAACACAUGCAAGUCGAACGGCAGCACAGAAGAGCUUGCUCUUUGGGUGGCGAGUGGCGGACGGGUGAGUAAUGUCUGGGAAACUGCCCGAUGGAGGGGGAUAACUACUGGAAACGGUAGCUAAUACCGCAUAACGUCGCGAGACCAAAGUGGGGGACCUUCGGGCCUCACACCAUCGGAUGUGCCCAGAUGGGAUUAGCUAGUAGGUGGGGUAAUGGCUCACCUAGGCGACGAUCCCUAGCUGGUCUGAGAGGAUGACCAGCCACACUGGAACUGCGACACGGUCCAGACUCCUACGGGAGGCAGCAGUGGGGAAUAUUGCACGAUGGGCGCAAGCCUGAUGCAGCCAUGCCGCGUGUAUGAAGGAGGCCUUCGGGUUGUAAAGUACUUUCAGCGGGGAGGAAGGCGGUGAGGUUAAUAACCGCGUCGAUUGACGUUACCCGCAGAAGAAGCACCGGCUAACUCCGUGCCAGCCGCCGCCGUAA
rnacentral:rRNA from 1 species